UGGAAGACUUGCGAGGUGUUUGUCUACAGCCAAAAGACAGACAGAGAGGAGGAUGCCGAGUGUGGGUGCCGGCAGUGGAUGGUUGGACUUCUUUUCUGCCUGUCUGCCUUGUAAAAUGGUAGGCUAUUAAAAGCCAUUUAAAACUUUUUUCAAAAACAAUAAAGAGACUUUUUUUUGCUGGGUUGGAAUUUGACUCCCUGGCAAACAAAAUUCUACUUUAGCAGAAACAACAGGGUACUGCUCAUGUCGUCAAAGUUAAAGUGAGUGUUCUCAGUCUUGGCCGCAGGCCUGGCGUGAGAUCAGUCAACACCGAAAACAAGAGCGGUUCACAUGCAAAAGCUAAGCCAUAUCGGCGGGUGAACUCACUGCCCUCCCCACUACGUGGGACCUGAC